rnacentral:rRNA from 1 species
UAAUAGCGUAUACUUAAGUUGUUGCAGUUAAAAAGCUCGUAGUCGGAUGUCGGGCUUGGGCAGGCUGUCGGCUUUUGUCGGACGGCAGGCUCGGGCCUUUCUGCCUGGGGACCGCGUCACACUUCACUGUGGGGCGUCGGGACGCAGGCCGUUUACUUUGAAAAAAUUAGAGUGUUCAAGGCAGGCCUACGCUUGAAUACAUUAGCAUGGAAUAAUGGAAUAGGACUUUGGUGCCAUUCUGUUGGUUUAUGGAACCGAAGUAAUGAUUAAUAGGGACAGUUGGGGCCGUUUAUAUUUCGUUGUCAGAGGUGAAAUUCUUGGAUUUACGAAAGAGAAACUUCUGCGAAAGCAUUCGGCAAGGAUGUUUUCAUUGA